rnacentral:lncRNA from 1 species
GUUUCAUAGAAUGUGUCUUCUUGCUGCAUCCUCACAUAGUGGAAGACAUAAGGCAGCUUUCUGGGGCCUCCUUUAUAAGGAUACUAAUUCCAUUAAUAAGGGAAGAGCCCUCAUGAACUAAUCACUUCCUAAAAGACUGUACCAUCUAAUACCAUUAGUUCGGGGGUUAGAGACCACUGAAGGUAAUCAAUAUUAUACAAGCUCUGUCACACCCAUUAGAAUAGCUAACUAUCAAAGGGAAAAUAAUAAUAACGAGUGUUGGUAAAGACAUGGAUAAACUGAACCCUUGUGCAUUAUUGGUGGGGAUGUAAAAUGGGCAAUUACUAUGGGAAAUAGUAGGGAAGUUGUUCAAAAUUAGACAGAGAGUUACCAUAUGAUCUAGCAAUUGCAUCCCCAGUAUAUAACAAAAGUAAGUCAAAGCAGGGACACAAAGAGAUAUUUGUCCAUUCAUGUUCAUAGCAACACUAUUCACAAUAGCCAAAAAGUUGGAAGGAUCCCAAGUAUCCUUUAAUGAAUAAAUGAAUAAACAAAAUGUGGUAUAAACAUAAAAUGGAAUAUUAUUAUUCAGUCUUAUAAGGAAGAUGAUUUGGACACAUGCUACAACAUGGAUAAGCAUGUUGAGGACAUGCUCAACAACCUUGAGGAUUUUGUGCUAAGUAAAAUUAGCCAGUCGCAAAGAGACAAAUACAGCAUGAUUCCACCCAUAUGAGAUACCUAGAGUGGUCAAAUUCAGAGAGGCAUAAAGUACAUUAGAGAUUACUAAGGAUUACAGAGAGAAGGGAAUGGAGAGUUAUUGUUUAAGGGUACAGAGUUUCAGUUUGAAAGAUGAAAAGAGUUCUAGACAUAGAUAAUAGUGAUGGUUCCAAAACAAUGUGAAUGUAAUUAAUGCCACUGAAGUGAAUGCUAAAAAUGGUUAAAAUGAUAAAUUUUAUGUUAUGUGCAUUGUACCACAAUAAAAAAGUUAAAAUAUUACACAAUUUGUGAAUAUUAUUUCAAAAGACUUGUUUUAGGAAUUUUUCAAAUGUGCAAACAUAAAUGGAACAAGUAUAUAGUUCCUAUAUGACUACAUUAAUAAAACAAUGCUCAUACUGCUAUAUUAUUUCAUAUAUUUUCUCAGAUACACACAUAUUUAAUUAAACAUGAUAGUUAAUGACCUUUAAAUAUAAGAGCAGAAACCUUGGGGUAAGUUUUUUAUUUUUGUCUCAAAUAAGUUAAAACAAAUUCCAUUUAUCCAUAUUUUUGGAAGAAACAUUUGUUUUUCAAAAUAAAUUAUUUUCAGACUUGGCUAACCACAAGUCUGAAAUGUGCACAAAACUCCCUCAACCAUACAUAUAGUAAAAUAGAGGUAAAGAGAACAACAGAUAAUGCUGUGAAUAAAUUCUUCCAAGUCCAUGAAACAAAUUGGAGUCAAAUUUGAAUAAUGCAAUCAGUCUACAUGAAUAUUUUAGGCCACUUGGUUUAAUUCAGCAAAUUUCAUUGAACACCUGUUUAUGCCAGAUACAGUAUUAAGUAAUGAGGCUAUAGAGAGGAGCAAAACACUAUUUCUCAAAACACUAUUUCUAUCCUCUAGGAUUGUAAAUACUGUAGUUGGAAUAAGAUGGAGCCGAGAGAGGAACCAGCAUUACUGAAAACCUGAAUACAUCAUUUUAUGUGAGUCUCGCAAUCUCUCUGUGAGUUAGUUGUUGUUAUCCCCAUUUUUUAGAUGAGAGAACUGAGAUUUAGAGAGAUUAAGUAAAGCACCAUGAGACAAACAAUUCACAAAAAGCAGAGAUCUAAUUUUUCCCCCGUUCAUCUGAUUCCAAAGUCCACACUCUGUCUCCAAUCUUACCAUGAUAUAUUGAAUUAUACUACACUGUAUUACACAAUAAAAAAUAGGCAUGGGAACAAAUAAUUACAACCAACUACAAUACAGGUGAUACGAAAAAUAUUUGCCACAUAGAUGAAUGUCAAAGAAGAAGCCAUGGUCAACUUUGUUCUUCAGAAUAGGCUCAGAAAAAUUUAAAUAGGGUGGUUAAUUCUGCAGUAGAAUUUGAUAUUAGAUAGAAAUUUUACAAGUUGACAAAGGAGGAAAAACUACUCAGUGGAAACAUGCAAAAUACUUUCUUUACCCAUGUCAGGCCUCUGAGCCCAAGCUAAGCCAUCAUAUCCCCUGUGACCUGCAUGUACACAUCCGGAUGGCCGAUUCCUGCCUUAAUUGAUGACAUUCCACCACAAAAGAAGUGAAAAUGGACUGUUCCUGCCUUAACGGAUGGCAUUAUCUUGUGAAAUUCCUUCUCCUGGCUCAAAAGCUCCCCUACUGAGCACCUUGUGACCCCCACUCCUGCCCGCCAGAGAACAACCCCCCUUUUCCUUUACCUACCCAAAUCCUAUAAAACGGCCCCACCCCUAUCUCCCUUUGCUGACUCUCUUUUCGGACUCAGCCCGCCUGCACCCAGGUGAAAUAAAUAGCCAUGUUGCUCACACAAAGCCUGUUUGGUGGUCUCUUCACACAGAUGCACAUGAAAUUUGGUGCCGUGACUCGGAUCGAGGGACCUCCCUUGGGAGAUCAAUCCCCUGUCCUCCUGCUAUUUGUUCCAUGAGAAAGAUCCACCUACGACCUCAGGUCCUCAGACCAACCAGCCCAAGAAACAUCUCACCAAUUUCAAAUCCAGUAAGUGGCCUCUUUUUCCUCUCUUCUCCAACCUCUCUCACUGUCCCUCAACCACUUUCACCUUUCCACUCUUCAAUCUCUCCCUUCUUUUAAUUUCAAUUCCUUUCAUUUUCUGAUAGAGACAAAGGAGACACGUUUUAUCUGUGGACCCAAAACUCUGGCACUGGUCACGGACUAGGGAAGGCAGCCUUCCCUUGGUGUUUAAUCAUUGCAGGGACACCUCUCUGAUUAUUCAUCCAGGUUUCAGAGGUGUCAGACCACGCAGGGACGCCUACCUUGGUCCUUCACCCUUAGCAGCAAGUCCCACUUUUCUGGGGUAGGGGCAAGUACCCCAACCCCUUCUCUCCGUGUCUCUACCCCUUCUGCGCCUUUCUGGGGGGCAAGGAACCCCCAACCCCUUCUCCUUCACUCUUAGUGGCAAGUCCCGCUUUUCUAGAGGAGGGGCAAGUGCCCCAAGCUCAUAUCUCUGCGCCCCAAUCCCUUAUUUCCGCACCCCAACCUCUUAUAUCUCUGCGCCGCAAUCCCUUAUUUCUGUGCACCGACCUCUUAUCUCUGUGCCCCAAUCCCUCAUUUCCGUGCCCCAACCUCUUAUAUCUCUGUGCCCCGAUCCCUUAUUUCCAUGCCCCAACCUCUUAUAUCUCUGCACCCUGAUCCCUUAUUUCCACACCCCAACCUCGUAUCUCUGCACCCCAACCCCUUUCCCGCUUUUCUGGAGGGUAAGAACCCCCGAACCGCUUCCCUCCAUGUCUCUACUCUCCCUUUUCCUUAAACUUGCCUCUUUCACUAUGGGCAACAUUCCACCCUCCAUUCCCCCUUCUUCUCCCUUAGCCUGUGUUCUUAAGAACUUAAAACCUCUUCAACUCUCACCUGACCUAAAAUCUAAGCACUUUAUUUUCUUCUGCAAUGCCGCUUGACCCCAAUACAAACUUGACAGUAGUUCCAAAUAGCCAGAAAACAGCACUUUCAAUUUUUCCACCCUGCAAGAUCUAAAUAAUUCUUGUCGUAAAAUGGGCAAACGGUCUGAGAUGCCUGACGUCCAGGCAUUCUUUUACACAUCGGUCCCUCCCUAGUCUCUGUGCCCAGCGCAACUCAUCCCAAAUCUUCCUUCUUUCCCUCCCACCUGUCCCCUCAGUCCCAACCCCAAGUGUCACUGAGUCUUUCUAAUCUUCCUUUUCUACAGACCCAUCUGACCUCUCCCCUCCUCCCCAGGCUGCUCCUCGCCAGGCCGAGCUAGGUCCCAAUUCUUCCUCAGCCUCCGCUCCUCCACCCUAUAAUCCUUUUAUCACCUCCCCUCCUCACUCCCGGUCCAGCUUGCAGUUUCGUUCCGUGACUAGCCCUCCCCCACCUGCCCAGCAAUUUACUCUUAAGAAGGUGGCUGGAGCUAAAGGCAUAGUCAAGGUUAAUGCUCCUUUUUCUUUAUCCCAAAUCGGAUAGCAUUUAGGCUCUUUUUCAUCAAAUAUAAAAAUCCAGCCCAGUUCAUGACUCGUUUGGCAGCAACCCUGAGACACUUUACAGCCCUAGACCCUAAAAGUUCAAAAGGCCGUCUUAUUCUCAAAAUACAUUUUAUUACCAAUCUGCUCCCAACAUUAAAUAAAACUCCAAAAAUUAAAUUCCGGCCCUCAAACCCCACAACAGGAUUUAAUUAACCUCGCCUUCAAGGUGUACAAUAAUAGAAAAAAGUUGCAAUUCCUUGCCUCCACUGUGAGACAAACCCCAGCCACAUCUCCAGCACACAAGAACUUCCAAAUGCCUGAACCACAGUGGCCAGGCGUUCCUCCAGAACCUCCUCCCCCAGGAGCUUGCUACAAGUGCCAGAAAUCUGGCCACCAGGCCAAGGAAUGCCUGCAGCCCAGGAUUCCUCCUAAGCCGCGUCCCAUCUGUGCGGGACCCCACUGGAAAUCGGACUGUUCAACUCACCUGGCAGCCACUCCCAGAGCCCCUGGAACUCUGGCCUAAGGCUCUCUGACUCCUUCCCAGAUCUUCUUGGCUUAGCGGCUGAAGACUGACACUGCCCGAUCACCUCGGAAGCCCCCUAGACCAUCACGGAUGCUGAGCUUCGGGUAACUCGCACAGUGGAAGACCUGUUCCUUCUACCCAAGAAAGAACAGUUAAUGAAGCCACAUGAGCAUCCCUCCCUGCCAACAGGUGUACACCUUAGAGAAGAGACAGACAAGUAUAUGACGUAAUCGGAUAAAUGUCUCGACAAUCUAUUACAGCAGCUCAACAAAGGGCCACCUAAUUGAACCUGGAAGUAUCAGGAAGGCUUCCUGGAAAACGUGAUAGCUAAGUGGAGUUUUUAACAAUAGUAGUAAUAAUAACAACCUUGUUAUUCUAAAUGGUUCAUAUUUAUUUUUUAAUAAAAAAUAUUUCAUAUUUUUUAUUUAUGAAUAAAUAUUUAAUAUUUGCAGCAGCCCCAUGAUCAAUGUACUAUUAUUAUCCAUUUUACAGAUAAGCAGGUGGAGGUAAAAAGGGGUUAAGUUACUUGCCCAAGUCAGUACAGACAGAGAGUGAAAGGGUCAGGAUAUAAAUCUAGUCUAGCCUGAAUCCAUAGCCCAUUUUUAACCACCCACUAUGCUAAAAUCUUUUCUAUUUCAAGCAGAGGAAAGAAGGUGUUCAAUGUGCUGAGAUAUGAGAAAACACCAAGCAUUCAGGGACCUGCAAGCAGGUCAAUAAAGUUAAAGCAUAGUGUAUGAGUAAUGAGUGCCAAAAAUAAGUGUAACUUUAUCAGUAAGAAUUGCAGGCACUGUUGGUUAUAACUUUUGAUUCACGUACACUGCUCAGAAAGACAAAGUUGUGCUGCAAUAACAACACAACUUCAAAAUUUCAGUGGCUUAAAACAACAAAUGUUUAUUUCUUGCUCAUAUGACACAUCCAAUAUGGAAAGUUCUGCUCAUGAGACCCACUUAGAAACCAAGGCUAAUGUGGGCCAUAUCUUAACUCUUGGCUUCCAGGAUUGUUCUGGCAGGAAAAGAGAGAAUUGCGGAAUCAAGCACCCGCAGUUAAAUGCUUUGGCCCAGAAGUGAUGUGUGUCACAUUUCAUUGUCCAAUGCUAGUUACAUGAUGAUACCUAACUUCAAGAGGGCAGGGAAGUACAAUCCCUGUACUUGUACUUUGAAUCUGAGCAGUACUUGAGAUCAGUAACUGCAUACCAUAAGUUAUUGUCUUCAGUAUUGAAAAGUAAUACCAUGCAGCACAUAAAAAUACGAUUUGGGCCGGGCGUGGUGGCUCACGCCUGUAAUCCCAGCACUUUGGGAGGCCGAGGCGGGUGGAUCAUGAGGUCAGGAGAUCGAGACCAUCCUGGCUAACACAGUGAAACCCCGUCUCUACUAAAAAUACAAAAAAUUAGCCGGGAGCGGUGGCGGGCUCCUGUAGUCCCAGCUACUUGAGAGGCUGAGGCAGGAGAAUGGCGUGAACCCAGGAGGCGGAGCUUGCAGUGAGCCGAGAUCGCGCCACUGUACUCCAGCCUGGGCGACAGAGCCAGACGCUGUCUCAAAAAAAAAAAAAAAAAAAAAAAAAUACGAUUUGAAGUCAGACACAAUGAGGUGAGAAUCCCAACUUCACAACUCAUUAGUCUGCGUGAUUCUGAUUAUGGUUCUUAGCCCUCAAAAUUGCAGUUUCUUUUUCUUAAAUAUAGAGACAUUCCCUUUCGAGAUUGCUGUGAGGUUUAAAUGAGAUUAUGUCUAAAAGCUUAGUGCUUAUGACAAAGUAGAAGUCCAAUAAAUGGUGGCUUUAUUUGGAAUUGAUCAAGAAUUUGCAAUUUAGUAAAAGUCAAGAGCAGACUACAAAAAGGAUUGUAGUUGAUUGGAAUCAUCACCAUAGGUUAUAUAACAAAAUAUUCAGUGAAGAAGCAGGAAAUUAUAGUUAAUGUGCAAUAAACCAGGGAUUCUCUUCCUAGUUUCUCAUUUAUAUUAGCCUUUUAAAGCUGCCUAACAAAUUACCAUAAACAUACUGGCUUAAAACAAUUCCUGUGUAUUAGCUUACAGUUUUGUAGGGUGGAAGUCCAAGCAGGGCUCAGUUUUCUGAUCAGUUUCUCACAGGCUGAAAUCAAAGUGUUGACCGGGCUGCAUUCUCAUCUGGAGCUGGGUUCUUCUUCCAGUGUUAUGUCCUCACUGCAGAAUUCAGCUCCUUCCAGUAUGUGAUUGACGUGCCCGUUCCUUGCUGGCUAUUGGUCAGGAGCUGCUCUCAGCAGCUAGAGUUCAUCCACAGUUCCUUGCCACAUGGCCCCCAAAGACAAUCACAAUAUGGUUGUUUGCUUUCUUCCAAGCCAGGAGGUAUUCCUUCUCUCAGACUACAUCCUCUAUGAAUAGCCCUAGAAAACACUCUAAGCUUUUAAAGAGAUCACCUGAUUAGCUCAGGCUCUUUUUUAAAAAAUAUAACAAUUACUGGAGUGAAAUUUCAUAGUAUUCAGAAGUUCCACCCACAUUAAACUGGAGGAUCAUAUGAUGGAGAGAAUCAUUGGCAAUCAUCUGAGAAGUCUGUCUACCACAUCUCUUCACAGCUUUUCCAUGCUGAAGGCAACAAUGUAUUUUAUGACAAACAAUGAUUCACAGAGGUAGUGCAUAGGAGGCAUCUGUGGUAUUUAACACACAAUUCUUAAUCCCAACUAGCCUAGAAUUCCUAGGACUGGGAAACCCACUCCUUAGGGAAAUCAUCACAUAUUUGUUGGAAGGCAAUUCUCCACAUGUCUCUCAUUUCUGCACCUUAUAAGCAUAGGUACCUACUGCUUUGUUCCAUUUCUGCACCUUAUAAGUAGAGGUACCCUUUGUUCUAGACUAUCUUUUCAAGGACAAUUGUAGCACACACAACCUUGAAAGACAGAUACUGUGUCUUCCUCCAGAGCAAAGAACAAAUUUGAUUACUAGUCUGUAUAAUAAUUAUACCUCUUUCCAAAGCAAAGGGCAAGCAUACUUCCUGCCAUUAUAAAAGAUUCAGAUUUCCCGAGUCAGGAUUCCUCUCCUGGAAUAAAGCUCACUGUGAAUAAGACAUCUACCUGGGUCCAUUCACUUCAUCCCUAUGGAACAUGGAAGCAAGGGGAAACUGACCAAACAUGGCAUCUGGCUCUGUGGCCUGGGCUGGAGUGCAAUGACACAAUCUCGACUCACCACAACCUCCGCCUCCCGGGUUCAAGCGAUUCUCCUGCCUCAGCCUCCCGAGUAGCUGGGAUUACAGGUGCCUGCCACCACGCCCAGCUAAUUUAUUGUAGUUUUAGUAGAGAUGGGGUUUCACUAUGUUGGCCAGACUGGUCUUAAACUCCUGACCGCAUGACCUGCCCACCUCAGCCUCCCAAAGUGCUGGGAUUAUAGGCGUGAGACACCACACCCAGCCAGCCCUAUGUUAUUUCUAGGAAAAGCCUAGCCCUGGGAGGGGCAGUCUCUCCCUACUCAGCGAGAAAUGCCAGGGUAUCAAAAGUACAGAAAAUAAGAAAAUAUAGUUAAUAUAAUCUGCCCUGUGAUGAGCAGAUGUCAAAUACAGAAUCUAAGAAAACAUGGAGCAAAAGACAUGGCUUCUUCGUGGCUGCCUAGUAAUCCAUCACAAAUUACACAAAAAUGUAUAAAAAUGUAUUCCACAAAUGACACAGUAGUUCUGCUUUUAUUGGAUAGUUAUCUCUUUGUAGAUGUUUGAUAUUCUAAAUAAUUCCUCAAUGAAUGGACAGAGAGGAAAAAAGAUAAAAAAGAGAAUUCAUGAAUUUACUUUAACUGUUAUAUAUAAAUAUGUGUAAUAUGUAUAAUUAUGUAUGAUACAAUAUAUAAUAUGUAUGUAAAAUAUAACAUAAUCAUAUGAUUAUGAUACAACUGAAUACAGAAAUGAUUAUACCAUUAUGAUGAUAUAUAAUAUUUGUUUGCUUUUGUCUACCUCAGGAAGUUAGUAAAGCAAGCUUAGAUCUGUAUUUACUGACUUCUAGAAAUGCCCACAAUAUAUUGACAUGUGAAAGAAGCAUACUACAGAAUAAUGCAUGUAUUUAAAGUUCAUUUCAGCACUAACAAUCAACCAACCAAACCCCUUUAGAUAAUAUGCUAUAUAUAUUCAUUUCAACAAGGAGAUAGGUAUGAAGGUACAUACCAGACCACUAAAAUUGGUUUCCACUGAGGAAUGCGAAGCAUAGGUAGAAGGAAGGCAGGGAGAGAUAAUUAACUUUGUUUUUAUACUUUUUCAUAUUGUAUCAUUUAAUGUAUUACAACAGAAAUGUAUUAGUAUAAUUUGAAGACAUUCAAUAAAUACAUUUUUUUAAAAAAGAUAAAAA